AUUGAACGCUGGCGGCAGGCCUAACACAUGCAAGUCGAACGAGUGGCGGACGGGUGCGUAAUGUCUGGGAAACUGCCCGAUAGAGGGGGAUAACUACUGGAAACGGUAGCUAAUACCGCAUACCAUCGGAUGUGCCCAGAUGGGAUUAGCUAGUAGGUGGGGUAACGGCUCACCUAGGCGACGAUCCCUAGCUGGUCUGAGCGGAUGACCAGCCACACGUGAACUGAGACCGGGUCCAGACUCCUACGGGAGGCAUCAGUGGGGAACAUUGCACAAUGGGCGCAACCCUGAUGCAGCCAUGCCGCGUGUAUGAAGAAGGCCUUCCGGUUGUAAAGUACUUUCAGCUAGGAGGCGUUACUCGCAGAAGAAUCACCGGCUAACUCCGUGCCAGCAGCCGCGGUAAUAC
rnacentral:rRNA from 1 species